rnacentral:rRNA from 1 species
UCCCCCUUGCCGGCCCCCUAAAGGACCCCACGCAACAGAAAGGCCACGCUUAAAGAGCACCGCCACAGGCGCGCAGCGACGGCACAGGAACACGCACCCAACACGCCCCGGAGACAAGGACAAGCCCCGGAAAACGGGGCAGACCCGCGACACACGACCGCGACCGGACAGAGAGGACGACCAAAAGGCGGCACGGGCACCCCCACCGCGAGCCGCCCCAGGAGGGGACAGCGGCCGAACACCCAGCAGGCGGGGAAAGGGCCCACCAAACCCGCAACCGGUACGGGCUUUGAGAGAAGGAGCCCGGAGAUGGACACUGAGACAAGGGUCCAGGCCCUACGGGGGGCAUCAGGCGCGAAAACUUCGCAAUGCGCGAAAGCGUGACGAGGCUAGUCCGAGUGCCUUCUGCUAAAGAGGGCUUUUGUCGGCUGUAAAUAGGCCGGGGAAUAAGGGGAGGGCAAGUCUGGUGUCAGCCGCCGCGGUAAUACCAGCUCCUCGAGUGGUCGGGACGAUUAUUGGGCCUAAAGCACCCGUAGCCGGUUCCGUAAGUCUUCUGUUAAAUCCAGCUGCUCAACGGCUGGCCUGCAGGAGAUACUGCGAGACUAGGAGGCGGGAGAGGCGGACGGUACUCCGCGUGUAGGGGUAAAAUCCACUGAUCCAUAGAGGGCCACCAGUGGGGAAGGCGGUCUACCAGAACGCGUUUGACGGUGAGGGAUGAAAGCUGGGGGAGCAAACCGGAUUAGAUACCCGGGUAGUCCCAGCUGUAAACGAUGCAAACUCGGUGAUGCAUUGGCUUAUGGCCAAUGCAGUGCCGCAGGGAAGCCGUUAAGUUUGCCGCCUGGGACUUACGGACGCAAGUCUGAAACUUAAACGAAAUAGCGGGGGAGCA